rnacentral:rRNA from 1 species
AUUGGACGCUGGCGGCAGGCUUAACACAUGCAAGUCGAGCGGGGUGAUGUAGCUUGCUACAUUACCUAGCGGCGGACGGGUGAGUAAUGCUUAGGAAUCUGCCUAUUAGUGGGGGACAACAUUCCGAAAGGAAUGCUAAUACCGCAUACGCCCUACGGGGGAAAGCAGGGGAUCUUCGGACCUUGCGCUAAUAGAUGAGCAUAAGUCAGAUUAGCUAGUUGGUGGGGUAAAGGCCUACCAAGGCGACGAUCUGUAGCGGGUCUGAGAGGAUUGACCGGCACACUAGGACUGAGACACGGCCCAGACUCCUGCGGGAGGCAGCAGUGGGGAAUAUUGGACAAUGGGUGCCAGCCUGAUCCAGCCAUGCCGCGUGCAGGAAGAAGGCCUUCUGGGUUGUAAACUGCUUUUGCCAGGGGAUAAAAUAGCUAUGCGUAGCGAAUUGAAGGUACCUGGUGAAUAAGCCACGGCUAACUACGUGCCAGCCGCCGCCGUAAUAC